rnacentral:rRNA from 1 species
GCUAGUAAUCGCGGAUCAGCAUGCCGCGGUGAAUACGUUCCCGGGCCUUGUACACACCGCCCGUCACACCACGAGAGCUUGCAACACCCGAAGUCGGUGAGGUAACCCGCAAGGGAGCCAGCCGCCGAAGGUGGGGCAAGUGAUUGGGGUGAAGUCGUAACAAGGUAGCCGUACCGGAAGGUGCGGCUGGAUCACCUCCUUUCUAAGGA